rnacentral:rRNA from 1 species
AUUGAACGCUGGCGGCAGGCUUAACACAUGCAAGUCGAGCGGGGUGAUGGUGCUUGCACUAUCACUUAGCGGCGGACGGGUGAGUAAUGCUUAGGAAUCUGCCUAUUAGUGGGGGACAACAUCUCGAAAGGGAUGCUAAUACCGCAUACGUCCUACGGGAGAAAGCAGGGGAUCACUUGUGACCUUGCGCUAAUAGAUGAGCCUAAGUCGGAUUAGCUAGUUGGUGGGGUAAAGGCCUACCAAGGAGACGAUCUGUAGCGGGUCUGAGAGGAUGAUCCGCCACCCUGGGACUGAGACACGGCCCAGACUCCUCCGGGGGGCAGCAGUGGGGAAUAUUGGACAAUGGGGGGAACCCUGAUCCAGCCAUGCCGCGUGUGUGAAGAAGGCCUUAUGGUUGUAAAGCACUUUAAGCGAGGAGGAGGCUCUUUUGGUUAAUACCCAAGAUGAGUGGACGUUACUCGCAGAAUAAGCACCGGCUAACUCUGUGCCAGCCGCCGCGGUAA